rnacentral:rRNA from 1 species
UGAGGAAACUUAUGCUAAUACCGGAUAAGUCUUUACGGAGAAAGCUUUAUGCACCAUUGGAUGAGCCUGCACUUGAUUAGUUUGUUGGUGGGGUAAUGGCCUACCAAGACUGUGAUCAAUAGCUGAUUUGAGAGGAUGAUCAGCCACAUUGGGACUGAGACACGGCCCAAACUCCUACGGGAGGCAGCAGUGGGGAAUCUUGCACAAUGGAGGAAACUCUGAUGCAGCGAUGCCGCGUGAGUGAAGAAGGCCUUUGGGUUGUAAAGCUCUUUCGUCGGGGAAGAAAAUGACUGUACCCGAAUAAGAAGGUCCGGCUA